rnacentral:lncRNA from 1 species
AUUUAAUAGUGUGUGCAGAAGCUCCUCCUGUUGUAGUUAAAGUAAGAUGGAACAAAAGUUAAUUCAAUCAGGAAGUUCCUGGGGUAAACAAUAUACUUAAGUGGCUUUCCUGUCUUUAGUGUGGUGACAUUUCUGAUGGUUUGAAAUAGCAGCCCUGUAAAUGUAUGUACAGAGAUGGUGAAUGCUCCUGAAAGUGUAGUGAACAAAAUCUAAAUAUUUCAAAGAGAAUAACUGAUUGACGAAUUCAAAUUCAUACAAUAAAUUUGUAAAAAAUGCUCCCUUAAGAUAAUUAACCCAUGGUUUUCUCAAUGUGUUCUCAUAAACACCAGAUACACUAAUAUACAGACCAAGUCUGGUUUAGUCAGAACAUUUAAUUGAAUGACAUUGCUUGAAUUUAUAGCAAUAGAAUUUCUGAUUAUUCAUUCAGAUUUGUAACAAAUAUACAAAGACAAAGUUUCAGUGCCUUAUAUAAGUUUGAUAAGUAAUAUUUUCAAGAUUAUGCUAUGGAAUAAUGUGGAAGAAAACUAAAGUUUCAAGGUUGAAUAAUAUGGAAUAAACAUGAAUUGCCAAUUAUCAAUUAAAAACAGCCCCAAACUAGAACAUAUAUUUUCUGUUCCUUGUUACCAGUUUCGCUCCAAAUGAAGUUCAAACAACUUGUUAAUUUUAAUUCAAACCUGUCUUGAGUGAGCAAUUAAGGUAUAAUAUUAGUUUUAUUGGAUGUAUAAGAUCUAUUCUUCCCUACAUACUGAAACUUCCACAACCACUCAAAAAACAGCUCUUUCAUUUUUUCGUUUCUUUGUGAAACGAAACUUAAAAUUCACAGCUAAGAAAAAGGCAAUCCUGACUAAGUUUUCUUAGAAGCUUGAAAUUAUCCUUAAAGCUUCUUUUUUGACUCAAGUACUUAUUUGAAGCAUCUUCUUACCUUUGAGUGCAAACGCAGCUUAAAAACUUACAUUCUUCCAUUUCUGCAACACACAUACAUUUUUGCAAUACUUCUUAUUUGAGAACCUUUGAGAUCAAGGACAGAUACUUGACAUUUUAAAUAUAUAGCUAUCUUUCUGUUUCAGCUACACACUAAUUAUGUUGAACAGUGGCAAAAACUGGAGAAACAUAACUUGAAGAAUCUAUGUUUCCUUUUAGGGGGAACUCUAGCAGGUUUUCAUGGGUAACUUCCAUUCAUCCACGAAAUGUGGGCAUUUUCACCCAUCUCUUGUUUAACCAGUAUGAAAGACAAGAUGAUAAAUCACCGCCAUACAAAGAUAGGCCAGAAUGACCAUGAAAGCUCACUCAUGUCGUUAUAACUUUUUAAACCUGUCCUUGACAGCUUCUAUUCAAGAAACUCAAUUCUGACUUAGAGUAAGAACCAGCAAUUCCAAUAUAAGCUCUUGUGAUGAACUAUUAAAGAUAUUUUUCUCAUCAACUGUAUUGAAUCAGUAAGGUAAACAAAAGUUUCAUCUAGCUUCACAUGAGUCUUUUCAUGACAAAAGUGAUAACAAGUUGACAUGCUUUACUCUUUUAGGUAGAGAUUUGCAAGAGUCUAAGCUGAAGGUAAUGUAUUUGAUUAGCAUGUGAAACUGGACAGUUAUUAACUGUUUAUUAAAAUUUUAUCAAUUACCAAACUUUGGUCUCAGUUAAGUCAUGCCAUACUGAUUUCUGUGAUUAUUUAGAAGGUAUUCCCUCAACAACUAAGACAAUAUGAUUUUUUAAACAUCUCCAGUACUGUGCACAUGAGAUGCUGGAUAUUAGCGAAUAGUCAACAGUUUCUGUGUGUCAGCUAUGGUAACGCCCCAUUUAUUCAUUCUUAUAAUAUCCUUCAAAGUCUGACUUGGAGUUCCCACAGUGGCACACUGGGUUAAGGAUCCUGUGUUGCUGCAGCUGUGGUGUAGGUCGCAGCUGCGGCUCAGAUUCAAUCUCUGGCCUAAGGAACUUACAUAUGCCACGCUAGGGUGGCCAAAAAAAAUAAAUUAAUUAAAAAAAUAAUGUUGGCUGGCCCUUUUUAUAUAAAAACUUUCUUCAAGAAUGUAGAUUAUUUUUAAAAACAGGUUUUACUUUUCUUUUGAAACUUAGUAUCUUAAGUGCUUUAUGUCCCCUGGAGUUUGGAGACAGCCUGAGUUAUUUUAGAAGUUAAAAGUAAUAUAUUGGCAAAAGUGAACCUUGAAAAUACCAAAUCUUUUUAAAAUUUUAUGUUAGGGAAUAAUGAGCCAGGCACCUGUUUAUUGUUAGAAAGCUUUAUAUGGCCAACACCAGGCGUUGUAAGGGUAGCUACCAUGUGAAAAUAUGGGCUGUCCCAGCAUCACUGGCAACUAGGUAAGCUGUGGAAAAGUCCAUUGCUAAAGACUCAUUCUUUAACUAGAAACACGGGGUUCUGACACACUUUAUUAGAUGGUAGUUCAGAAGGCAUUGGAAAAUAGCACAUAAAAUUUAACUACUGUAUAUGCUACUAGACUGGUUUGCUUGUAUAUCAAGUAUUUUUGUUAUUUUUGGUUCUUUUUCAAAAAUAUUUACUGGAUGUCUGAUCAAUGGUGUGCACUAGGGUAAACCUUGGGAAUAUAACAAAUGAAGAGAUAUAAGAUUGCUCUUAAGAGGCUUAUGGUGUUUUGUUUCAUUUUGUUCGUUUUUUUUUUGUUAUUUGAAGAAUGCUUUGUUUUAAUUAAUCCACUCAGGCAAAUUAAAUGCUUGGGCACUCAUUUUAUUUUCACAUGUCCAAUUGUUGAUAUUGUAAAUAUAACACUCUUUAAGAGAAGACGAGCGUUGUCCAAUUCCUCAGUAUAAGAAAAGGUCAUUUGAUAAUGUGCCUUCUAUCUAGAAUAUUAGAGAGAAAGAGAGGAGCCAGGACAUUGCUGCAGAUAAAGUCCUAAUAAUUCUCAGAUUGAUGAUUUCCUUGACAUCGGAUUGUGUGUUGUUUUUUGUUUUGUUUUGUUUUGUUUUUCCAUAUUAGCUUUUUCGUUGGUUUGUUUUCUUUUCUUUUUUGACCACCCGGUGGCACAUAGAGUUCCCAGGCCAGGAAUCCGAUCGAAGUCACAGUUGCGGCAACACAGGAUCCUUAAUGCACUGCGCUGAGCUGGGAAUUGAACUUGUGUCCCCACACUCUGGAGAUGCUGCCAAUCCCAUCCUGUUGGGUCACAGCAGAAACUCCAACAUUAGCUUUUUUUUUUUUUUUUUUUUUUUUUUUUUGGAAACAAUUCCAAUGGGUUAUAGCUUUUGAUUUUUUUUUUUAGGAAUUAAAAUGAAUGAAAAAAAAUGGCAUAAACAUUGCAAAAAUACACUUUACAGGUUUAAUUUUCUUAUCCCAUCAUGUGUUUAUUGAAGGCCUUCCCUGGGCCAGGUUCUUUUGUUGCUGAUAUAGAUGCCUCAGGGAAUCAAACACAAAUCCUUGCCUUGUGCUGCUUAUACUAGAAUUAAUUGUUACGUUAUUGCAGGAGUGCUUGCCCUAUUAGUUGAAUGAUCUGUGUAACUAGAAUUGGGUAAGCUUAGGAGUCCACUGACGAUGUUUAUAACCACACACUCCUAGGUUGAAGAGUCAGUAUUUUUAUUUCUUAAUGUGUGGAUAAAAAGAAACUGAUGAUUAUUAUUUUGAAAUUUUAAAAGCUUUUUCUGUAAUCUAAAUAAUCAAGACCUUUAAAACAAACUUUUAAAUAAUUCUACUAAACUUUCUUGGAACCUCUCUCAAAUGAACUAUUUGCUUUGUCUCACGUAAUAACUUCUAAUUAGAAAACUCAUUUCACCUUCUAGGCCUGGUUAGCUUUGGAGCAAGUUUUUGUCAUAAUAUAGAUCAAGAGAUUUAUUGUCCAUUUGGUUACCAAACUCCCAAGAUUUCUGAACUUUAUUCCAGUAUUAUGUCUUAUUCUUAGAAUAUAUUAUAUUUACAGUAGUGUAAAUGCCUUGGCUGAGCAACGAGUUAGUAUUAUAUUUUCAGAUUUUUAUACAGGAUCAUUAUAAAUAUAUUUUUAAAAAGCAUUUUAAAGCUUUGAAAGCUAUUACUGAGGACAUUGUCCCUAAAGGCAGGGGGAAAAUGUUUAUUAUCUUUGUCAUUGCAUGGAUUUGCACAUAUAUGUUUUUUUUUUUUUUUUAAGCAUUUUUAAAAGUGUAGUUGAUUUACAAUGUUCCUUCAAUUUCUGCUAUACAGCAGAGUGACAUAUAUAUACAUUUUACGUAUAGACAUAUACACACAUUCAUUUUCUUCAAACCAUUUUCUAUCAUGUUCUCACCCAAGAGACUGGACGUAGUUUCCUGUGCUGUGCAGUAGGACCCCAUUGCUCAUCCAUGCUAAAUAUGAGUUUUGUUUUUUCAAAUGUUUCUUCGAAUUCCCUUUAAAUUGGCAUUUAUGUGACAUAAUUCCUUUGGUUAUUGCCAAGAAAUGUUUUAUUCUCCUCACAAAUGAGAGGGCCUUUUAUUAUUGGAUGAUGCCAGGAAAGGCCGGAUCAGAGCUUGCCGGUUAUAAUAACCAUAUUAAAUCUAGAUAUCCGUUACCGUGACUUCCGUUCCAUUCUUGCACGUAGAUGAUCUUAACCUCUAUUUUAGGCUGUCUUCUGUUUCUUUGUUUUGGUAGUCACAGAUAUUAGUUACAAUAAGUUUGCUGAAACACUCCUCGAAUUUUACUUUCCAUUAGAUUUUGUAAUCUAAGGAUACUCUUCUGAACAUCCUGCAUCUGAACUUUGUCCUUUAGUCUCAGAGCACUUUCUUUAUGAAUUAAGAUGAAAUAAAGUCUGAAUCUAAUCAGGCUUUUGAAAAAUAUGAUCUCUUAUGUUGAAACACCAUGAUAUUUUAUAUUUAAAAUGUAAAGAUAACCCAGGUGGCUCUUGAACUUUGGGCUCUUAAGAAUACUUUCUCCUCUGUUCUAGACAGAACUAAAGAAGGAAACUCAUUUUCUCCUCAUUUUUUUUUUUUUAAAUCAGUUCUACCAUUAGGCAGUAGCAUUUAACUUCCUCUUUAUUGGUAGGACAAGAUUGUAUUGACAGGAUCAAAUGGGAGAUUAGUUCCCUCUGCAGUAUAUACUCCUCCGAGGAAUACUAACCCUCAUUCAGAGGGAAAACACUUAAAGCUGUAAUUCAGAGGCACUGUAUUGCCUGAUCAGCUGAAUAAAAUAAAUAACGAGAACAACCCUCUUGAAUGCAGGUUUAGCAGAGUUAAGGGACUAAAAAGAUUCACUUCUAAGGCCAUUCUUAACCUUUCCAAUGUGGUUUAAGACAAGGAAGCUCAGUUUUGUUUUUCUUUUGUAAGAAUAAGAAAAGCAAAAAAGGACACUAAUAAUGUCCUAACAUACUGGUAGAAUGACAAUCUCUUGCUAGUGUAAGCAGACAUGAUGGAACAGCCCAUAAGGUUAAAAAUAAAAUAAAAUAACAUAAAAUAAAAUAAAAUAAACACGAGGAUUUCAAUUCAGUGCAUGUUCCAGAGCCUUGCGAUAUGCAUGACAGUGUGUUAAGCAUCAGACGCCAUCAAGACUAUUAUUCCAGCAGAUCCGUCAUAAUCUGGUCAUAUCUCCGAAGGUGUUUAAGGGGAUCAUGGGAGUUAUAUUGUAAAAUUUUAGAAGGCGAAUGAAUGGAAAACCAUCCUGUCGGCAGUUAUUUGAAUCAUUUUCAAACCACCAUAUUGAAAUGAAUUUAAGGUGGUUAAGAACCCACCAAAAUAUUUGUCCUUAAAAUUCAAAACGAAUUGCUAACUCAGAUAAGAAUGUAUUCUUUCCUUUCUGAAGUCUGAGUGGUUAACCUCAGGUUUCUGUGCUGCCUGGGGUUGAAUGGUUUUUUGUUUUGGUUUGGUUUGGUUUUGCUUUCAGAGGCUAGCACUUUUUCAGCUUUUUAUAAAUUUGUUCUACUUUUCUAAGGGAAAAAAA